rnacentral:rRNA from 1 species
UACGUAGGUGGCGAGCGUUGUCCGGAAUAACUGGGCGUAAAGGGAGCGUAGGUGGUUGAUUAAGUUAAAUGUGAAAGCCCAGGGCUCAACUCUGGAAUUGCAUUUAAUACUGGUCGGCUAGAGUACAGGAGGGGUAAACGGAAUUUCUAGUGUAGCGGUGAAAUGCGUAGAUAUUAGGAAGAACACCGGAGGCGAAGGCGGUUUACUGGACUGCAACUGACACUGAGGCUCGAAAGCGUGGGGAGCAAACAGG